AACGUAGAUCACAAGCGUUGUCCGGAAUUACUGGGUGUAAAGGGAGCGCAGGCGGGAAGACAAGUUGGAAGUGAAAUCCAUGGGCUCAACCCAUGAACUGCUUUCAAAACUGUUUUUCUUGAGUAGUGCAGAGGUAGGCGGAAUUCCCGGUGUAGCGGUGGAAUGCGUAGAUAUCGGGAGGAACACCAGUGGCGAAGGCGGCCUACUGGGCACCAACUGACGCUGAGGCUCGAAAGUGUGGGUAGCAAACAGG
rnacentral:rRNA from 1 species